rnacentral:rRNA from 1 species
AUGUUAGCGGCGGACGGGUGAGUAACACGUGGGUAACCUACCUAUAAGACUGGGAUAACUCCGGGAAACCGGGGCUAAUACCGGAUAAUAUUUUGAACCGCAUGGUUCGAUAGUGAAAGACGGUUUCGGCUGUCACUUAUAGAUGGACCCGCGCCGUAUUAGCUAGUUGGUAAGGUAACGGCUUACCAAGGCGACGAUACGUAGCCGACCUGAGAGGGUGAUCGGCCACACUGGAACUGAGACACGGUCCAGACUCCUACGGGAGGCAGCAGAC